UACAGAGGGUGCGAGCGUUAAUCGGAAUUACUGGGCGUAAAGCGCACGUAGGUGGCGACGUAAGUCGGGUGUGAAAGCCCCGGGCUCAACCUGGGAAUUGCAUUCGAGACUGCAUUGCUGGAGUACGGAAGAGGAGGGCGGAAUUCCCGGUGUAGCGGUGAAAUGCGUAGAUAUCGGGAGGAACAUCAGUGGCGAAGGCGGCUCACUGGCCCGGUACUGACGCUGAGGCGCGAAAGCGUGGGGAGCAAACAGG
rnacentral:rRNA from 1 species